UAAAUAUAGUGAUGGAGUCUGGCAGCAGGGAGGAAGUAUUUCCCAAGGACUCUGUUGCUGGUGUGUGUUAGGGCUUCAUAAAGCAUCAUUUCUGUUCCAGUCUUCAGCUGGGAAGAGAGUUGGAGGGGGCUGGAUGACAAAUGGUGAGCCUGCAUGGAUCUCCAAGAACUUGAGAUAAGAUGAGGGGGUGCUAUUGUCCAAUCGUCCCAGGCCAAGGGAGGAGAAUGGAUCCACAUGUGAUACAGGAAGAGAGACUGGAAUGC